UACAGAGGUCUCAAGCGUUGUUCGGAUUCAUUGGGCGUAAAGGGUGCGUAGGCGGCGCGGUAAGUCGGGUGUGAAAUCUCGGAGCUUAACUCCGAAACUGCAUUCGAUACUGCCGUGCUUGAGGACUGGAGAGGAGACUGGAAUUUACGGUGUAGCGGUGAAAUGCGUAGAUAUCGUAAGGAAGACCAGUGGCGAAGGCGGGUCUCUGGACAGUUCCUGACGCUGAGGCGCGAAAGCGUGGGGAGCAAACAGG
rnacentral:rRNA from 1 species